GGCGAACUGCACAUCCCGACAGAAGACACUUAUACCUCGGGGCCUUACUGAUCUUUAGGGAGCUGUCCCUGGAGAGGCUCCUGGGCUUCUUCACACGGCGCCCACCUACGUUGUAGGCACCCAGAGGAUCAACCUCUUCAUCGUUUGUCGUGGUCGCCA
rnacentral:sRNA from 1 species